AGUUCCUUGGUUAGUUAACCAAAUAGAGAUUUCUCCUAAAUCUUCCAAAGGAGACCAUGUUCUCCCUCCAAUUUUCUCUCUCGUCUUCCUCGGCAAAAUCAUUUAUACUUCAAACGUCACCUUCUUUCUUUCGGAGCCAUAGAGCUCCCUCUAGGGCUUUAAGAACCUUCCUCACAGCCAGUGCCAGUUCUGGUUCCACAAACUCCGAUGAAAGCCAGGAGGCCCUUGCCGGCCGCAGAGCCAACUACGGCGGAGUUCGAUUGGAAGAGACAGUGUGCAUCAAUUCAGGCAAGAUGAGACUCGAUUCUUGGAUCUCUUCUCACAUUAGCGGCAUCAGUAGGGCUCGCGUCCAGUCUAGUAUUCGCUCCGGCCUCGUCGCUGUCAAUGGCCGCGUUGUGGAUAAGGUUUCGCACAAUGUUAAAGCUGGGGAUAAGGUAGAUUGCACCAUUUCAGAGUUGCAACCCUUGAGGGCAGAGCCGGAAAACAUACCUUUGAAUAUAGUUUAUGAAGAUGAGCAUGUACUAGUCGUUAAUAAGCCUGCACACAUGGUUGUUCAUCCAGCACCUGGGAAUGCUACUGGCACACUUGUAAAUGGCAUUUUGCAUCAUUGCAGUCUUCCAGUUGUUGCAUUUUCGAAUGAGGAAGUUCUUUCAGAUGUUGAGGAUAUUUCUGAUGAUGACCUCAGUAGCUCAUUUACAGACCGAUGUCCUAACGAGUGGUUAUCUUCCAGCCAAAUUGGGGCAGCUAUUCGCCCAGGGAUUGUGCACAGAUUGGACAAAGGCACUAGUGGAUUACUUGUUGUUGCAAAGAAUGAACACUCUCAUGCCCAUUUAUCUGAACAAUUCAAGCUACAUACCAUCCAAAGAGUAUACAUUAGUCUUACUUCUGGAGUGCCAUCUCCAACUACUGGGCGUGUUGAGGUCCCAAUUGGACGUGAUUUAAAUAAUCGGAUUCGCAUGGCUGCUGUAUCGGGAUCAAGUAAAUGUAGACAGGCCCGCCAUGCUGCUAGUAGAUACAAAGUAAUUGAAAUACUUGCUGGUGGUGGUUCUGCAUUGGUUGAGUGGAGAUUAGAAACUGGACGCACUCAUCAGAUCCGUGCGCAUGCAAAGUACUUGGGGAUUCCUCUUUUAGGUGAUGAGGUGUAUGGAGGGACCAAGAGCAUGGCCUUGUCGCUGCUUCGGCCUAGAACCCCACCUAGCUAUCAUGGACAACUUUUGCAACUGGUUUCUGGAUUGGAGAGGCCUUGCCUCCAUGCUUUGGCUCUUGGGUUUAAGCAUCCACAUACAACAGAAAACAUGUAUUUUUCAUGCCCUCCACCUGCUGAUUUUGCUGAGAUCCUGAGCCAGAUUCGUGAAAUUGGUACAGUGAAGCCUUCAUUUAAGGUAUGAUUAUAUCAUCCAGACCAACAACUAUAAGAAGAAGAAUGCUCUGUUGUGAAUUGAAGCUUUUGGCCAAAUGUUGUACUAAAGAUUUCUCUCCUUUGAGAGGCGGGCUUCACCCUGAAAAUUAUUGAAAUGUUUGCAACAUCAUUACGAUUGGGCCAAGUAUGAGCAUGAUCGUGACCGGCCCGACAUUGGGCACAUGCUAGCUCAGCUUCAGCGAAAUAUAAUGUAAAUUAGAGUCAACGUGGCCAGCCCCUCCCUCAGAGAGGAAGAGGAGACUGUGAUGGUGUCAAUUAUAUCCAAGAGUUGGAGAGAUCCUCCAUUGAAACACAGAAGUGAUAGCAGG